CCUCACUACUGCCCUCCCCAAGUCACUGACCGCAGUGGGAGGCCCCACAGAGAGCUGGUCAACAGCAGGGUCAAGGUCCAGGCAGGGGGAGCUCAGAGGCAUCGGGCAGCUGAGCUGUGCCCCACACAGCACCAUGAAGCUGGGGCUGCUCUGUGCCCUCGCCAUGGCCCUCCUGGCCAUGGCCAUGGCUGACCUCAAAGACUCCAAGAAGGGAAAAAUGCUCACAUGGAACAGAGAGGUUGGUGGCGGGUGAAGGGAAGGGUUCAAAGAUGGCAAAUAACGGUCAGGAAGGGAGGGAGGCUGUGGGGAAGUGUUGUGAGGAGGGGGGCGGCACCAAAUGUGGCACAGCAUUGCAGGAAGCAAGCCCCCCACACCGUCCCCCAAGGGACGCCAUCUGCUGUCACCAGCACCCUGCACUGGGCAGGUGAGGGCCCUGGAAAGCUGCUGUCUCCAUCCCAGUGCCCUGUGCUGCUCUGGGCAGGGGUGGCCCAGAGGAUGGGCUAGGGACAACGAGGUGUGGCCAAGCCCUUCACUCCGAGGGGCUGUGCUAUGGGGGGAGCCCUGGGGCAUCCCGGGGCUCUUUGCUCCCCAAAGCACUGUGACCACUUGCACAACUAGCAAACAUUUCAUCAGGGCUUGGCAAGGGGCUGAGAAGGGGGAGGAGGGCUGCUGUCUUGGGUACAGAAAGUUGCCAUCCCCUCUUCCUCCUCCCCAUCCUCCCUCCACCAUCCCACUUGCUGCCGUACACCUCAGCUCUGCUCCAGUCCCACCACGGAGUGUUCUGGGAGGACAGCACCACGCUGGUGCCAGUGCUCCCACCACCCCCCAUGGGUGUCCCACUGCUCCGAGGGCCCCGCGGUGCCGGCACCACUCAGGUCCCUAUGGGGAGCUGACUCCUUCCCUCUGCAGGCAGGGACGCGCGGCGGGGGCCGGCGCCGACCACACCAGCUGUGCUCAGGGUGUUUCUCUGUGCUGAGUGAGGAGUCCAUCACAAUGUCCCGGAGCACUGGGGACGUGGAUGAAGCUCAGGCAGGCAGGCAGGAGCGCACCAGGAGGGAAACUGAGAAACCUGCACAGCAACGCCGCAGUCACAGAGCCCAGGACAGGAAAGGAGGAGCAGCGGUGGCCAAGCACAGCCCUGCGCCAUGAUGGAGCUGGGGGUCCCACCACCCCCUGACUGCACAGCAGCCCUGAGGGGAGCCAGGGGGUCCUGCUGUGCCUCCAGCAUGAUGGGGCUGCCCAGCCGCCCCAGAGUGCUCCUGGGGGGCAGCACCCCCACCUGCCACACGAAGCUGCCAAAUAAAGCCACCAAACCAGCCUGA
rnacentral:lncRNA from 1 species